UAGUCUGGGAUACCACUUGGAAACAGGUGCUAAUACCGGAUAAGAAAGCAGAUCGCAUGAUCAGCUUUUAAAAGGCGGCGUAAGCUGUCGCUAUGGGAUGGCCCCGCGGUGCAUUAGUUAGUUGGUAAGGUAAAGGCUUACCAAGGCGAUGAUGCAUAGCCGAGUUGAGAGACUGAUCGGCCACAUUGGGACUGAGACACGGCCCAAACUCCUACGGGAGGCAGCAGAG
rnacentral:rRNA from 1 species